GAAAUGCGAUAAUUAAUGUGAAUUGCAUAAUUCAGUGAAUCAUCGAGUCUUUGAACGCACAUUGCGCCCCCUGGUAUUCCGGGGGGCAUGCCUGUCCGAGCGUCAUUGCUGCCCUCAAGCACGGCUUGUGUGUUGGGCUUCCGUCCCUGGCAACGGGGACGGGCCCAAAAGGCAGUGGCGGCACCAUGUCUGGUCCUCGAGCGUAUGGGGCUUUGUCACCCGCUCCCGUAGGUCCAGCUGGCAGCUAGCCUCGCAACCAAUCUUUUUAACCAGGUUGACCUCGGAUCAGGUAGGGAUACCCGCUGAACUUAAGC
rnacentral:misc_RNA from 1 species